rnacentral:lncRNA from 1 species
UGUACGGGGCACUAUGCUAUCUCUGUCCUAGGUUCUGGGUUCUGGGUCAAGCCCCUAGUGCUGGAUUGAGGUUGUCUUCUGAAGAGAUAAACCCAAGCAGGCUGGUAAGAGGGAGUUUCAGUGUUCGCUACCAUCUUUCAGAGGCCUCUGAGCAGAUCUUCAGCUGAUUCUUCCUCAUCACCAGCAACAGAAGAGCCCUGGAAUUCUGGCCAAGCUGGUGGACGACGGAGCUGAGCAAGGCAGUACCCCAGCCAUCAUGAGCCUGGGAGAACCAGAGGGGAAGAGAAAGGGCUAAGUCUGAGAGGAAGCAAGAACCCUUGGAUUCUUGGAGAUACCUGGUCGAGGCAGAUUAUGAUGACACCUGACGCCUAGAGAGCAAAGCUCAAGGUUAUCAUGUGGCAUCAUGGACAAGCUGCAAUGCCAGUUCUCCCUGGUUGACUACAGUGGCUCCAUGUUCUUCCUGGUCAUCUCUGUGUUGAGCUCUACUUACAACAUUCCCCAGUUCCAGCCCCAGGAAGGAAACAGUUUUCUAUGUGGCUAAUAUGGGCUCCCUACCUCUCUGUCAUCAGACAGAAUUGAGUCCACC